GGGGCAGUAGCUCAGUGGUAGAGCUCCAGCUUCCCACGCGGAGAGACCUGGGUUCGAUUCCUGGCUGCUUCC
rnacentral:tRNA from 1 species